rnacentral:rRNA from 1 species
UGGGGAAUAUUGGACAAUGGGCGAAAGCCUGAUCCAGCCAUGCCGCGUGUGUGAAGAAGGUCUUCGGAUUGUAAAGCACUUUAAGUUGGGAGGAAGGGCAUUAACCUAAUACGUUGGUGUCUUGACGUACCGACAGAAUAAGCACCGGCUAACUCUGUGCCAGCAGCCGCGGUAAUACAGAGGGUGCAAGCGUUAAUCGGAAUUACUGGGCGUAAAGCGCGCGUAGGUGGUUUGUUAAGUUGAAUGUGAAAUCCCCGGGCUCAACCUGGGAACUGCAUCCAGAACUGGCAAGCUAGGGUAUGGAGGAGGGUAGUGGAAUUUCCUGUGUGGAGGUGAAAUGCGUAGAUAUAGGAAGAAAAACAAGUGGCAAGGGCGACUACCUGAACUGAUACUGACACUGAGGAGCGAAAGCGUGGGAAGAAAAC